UUCUGGUUUCUUCUCGUUUAUUUCGACCACUUUCUAAACUGCUUUGUGUGGCUUUUCAAAUAUUUAGAUUGGUAGAUUUUCGAACGUUACAAAUUUUAUGCAAUGAAGAAACCCUUGUAAAAAAGUUUGAACAUACUUGAACAUACAUACAUAGGUGAAAUUGUGUACUACCUUUUUUUAUGGAACAAUAACAUAUGCACAUAAAUAAUUUAUAAAAGUACUCUUUUUAAUUUCAGUCAACUCGAUUCUCUGUAAUUUUAUGGGAUACAGACCAGCCUGAAACAUAUGUACAUAUGUGCAUAAAUAUGGAGUGCACGCAAAAAUCAAGAUCCAGCAUAUUAUUACUAUUCGUGGCAGUGUUUUUGGGUUUGUAUUACUUAUCAUUUGAUAAGUUUUUGUCAGACCUCACAUUGAAGAAAGUUACUAAGAUUGUCCCAGAAUUAAACAUCUGCUGUGUUGGUCCGAUACACCAAUCGAAAGGUAUCCCUAAAAGACACCACACUUGCGCUCUAGUUUGGCAAGAAACCAAAGCUUUUAAACUAGUAAAUCUACAGAAAAGUAUAUGUUAUUUAUAAGGCAUCGACAAAUGUUAAUCAAGCUGCCUUAAUAUACAUAG